AAAAGAACAAGUAAGUGACAAGUCGGAAAUAGAUCCUCAAAAUAAUACAUUGAUGCUUAUGAAUGAAAUAAAUAAUUCAACUCCUAUAAAUAUAUAUGAUCCUAAGAUCAACAAUGUCUCAAGAGAGAUUAAAUGGGUUAGCUAUAUUGUCAAUUGAGAAAGACUUAUUAGGAGAAAUUGAUUAUAAGAAAAUUAUUAGUAACUUCGCAUCUAAAAAAGCUAGAAAAAUUGACUUCAAAUAAUAAUAAAAAAAUUAAAACAUUAAGGCCCCUCAUUAAAAUUUGGCUUUAGGCCCCAAAAUACGUCGGGCCGCCCCUGAUUAUAUGUAAAAGCAUCAGAAUCUUAAAGGCAUAUAAAGUUUAACUGAGGGCUUCAAAAAGUAAAAGACAUGACAAGCAACUUACCGUAAAGGGUGAAUCUUUAGAAUGAAAUUCCAUCAUAUAUUUUGGUUCUUUAGAGCUUAGACUUAAAGUUUCCCCUUAUAUAAAGGGGCAAGAAUCAAGAAGGAGAUAAGAAACCCGAUAAUAACAAUAAGUAAUCCUUGAGGAAAUACUUCAAAAAUGGAUAUUACAAAAUAAUAAGACAAAAGGAAAGAGCUACCAAAGCAAUUCAAGAACCUCACUUUGAUAAUUUAGAUGCAAUUAAAGAGCCGUCAAAAUGUUAAGGAGAAACCAAUUCGAUAAACCCCUCUCAUCCCUGCAAAUUUUUGGGAACGGAUGAAAAAACACACACAAACAAAAACUUUGAAAAUAAAUGUAAUUCAAUAGCUCCCAAAGAAAAAGAAAAUCAUAAUUAAACCCCAAAAGACAAUUGCAAGAUAAAAAUCCCAUACAUACAGAAGCAAAUACAUAGAUAUUCCAAAUGGAAAUAAGGGAAAUAGAAAUAGGCACAUAAUUUUUAAGCUGACAUGGCAAGAAUGACAAAAGGGCAUCGUUAGGGAGAAACUUUCAUUCAAGAACUAUAAAAAUCAUAUAAUUAAUAAAUGGGAAGUUGGAACUCAACUGAAACUACAACCAAAGAGGCCUGAAUCCCGUCAUCAAUUGCCACCCAAUUAAGAAGGUGAAGAGAUUCGAGCAAAAAAUUGGAGGAGCAUUUCUUUGUGAAAAGAGAUGAAAGGGCCGAUGUUUCUAGAGCUACUGUCAGUUGUGUAGGAAUGGAAACCU
rnacentral:lncRNA from 1 species